AAGCCUGGCUGCAACCGGAGGGAGAAAGGCCAACCCUUGGAAGGGAAGUAGAGUCAAGAGCAGCAAAUUCUGGGUCUCCUGAUGAGGUGGUUUGAGCCCCUGAAUUCGGUCAUCUCUGAAGACAGCUGUACCCAUGGAUGUCCCAGUUAUGUGGCCCCAACAGGAUUUCAGUGCCAAGUUCCCCAGCACUUACCUUGGAGCCGCUGAGGGGGAUUUCCAGCGUCUGGUGAGCCUGGGGUCAGCCGGUCUUUCUCCUGUGUCUCUGCAAAGUCUGCUAUGGGCCUGAGAAGAGCCAGUGCUCCAGAACAUUCCAAGUAAUUGCCUUCAAGCUCUGAGAGGAAGCAGCCCCUGUGUUUGUGAAAAUGCCCAAGAAGCCCAG